rnacentral:lncRNA from 1 species
AUGAAUGUCUUUUAAAAAUUUACUUUUCAUAAACUAUUAACAAACUCAAUAUUAAGCUAUGGUUACAUAACCUAGGGGCAUGGGUUAGAUAUUGAAUAACAAAUAUAAUAGGUAUAAGGUGCACUAGGUGCUAGAUAACAGAUAUCGAAUAAUAGGUACCGCUAUUUUAAUCAUAGAUAGCUUGAUGUUGAAAUUAAUUUCUCAGAUUACAAGUUGAUUGAGCCAAUAUUUUCUCUCCAUUAGUGGGGCCAAAUUAUAGUCAUAUUGAGAAUAUAUAGAUAUACAAAUCAAUAAAUUACCCAG